CCUACGGGAGGCAGCAGUGAGGAAUAUUGGUCAAUGGGCGGGAGCCUGAACCAGCCAAGCCGCGUGAGGGAAGAAGGUACAGCGUAUCGUAAACCUCUUUUGUCAGGGAACAAAGGCGGGGACUAGUCCCCGGAUGAGGGUACCUGAAGAAAAAGCAGCGGCUAACUCCGUGCCAGCAGCCGCGGUAAUACGGAGGAUGCGGGCGUUAUCCGGAUUUAUUGGGGUAAAGGGGUGCGCGGGCGGCCUGUUAAGUCAGCGGUAAAAGCCCGGGGCUAAACCCCGGCGAGCCGUUGAAACUGGCGGGCUAGAGUAGGAGAGAGGGACGCGGAAUGCGCGGUGUAGCAGUGAAAUGCUUAGAUAUCGCGCAGAACCCUGAUUGCGAAGGCAGCGUACCGGCUCCACACUGACGCUGAGGCACGAAGGCGUGGGUAUCGAACAGGAUUAGAUACCCUUGUAGUC
rnacentral:rRNA from 1 species